rnacentral:tRNA from 1 species
GUGUACUUAGCUCAAUGGUCAGAGCAUCACUCAUGAAUGCUGAGGUUGUGGGUUUGAGUCCCACCUUACACC